GAUGAACGCUGGCGGCGUGCCUAAUACAUGCAAGUCGAGCGAACAGACGAGGAGCUUGCUCCUCUGACGUUAGCGGCGGACGGGUGAGUAACACGUGGAUAACCUACCUAUAAGACUGGGAUAACUUCGGGAAACCGGAGCUAAUACCGGAUAAUAUAUUGAACCGCAUGGUUCAAUAGUGAAAGACGGCUUUGCUGUCACUUAUAGAUGGAUCCGCGCCGCAUUAGCUAGUUGGUAAGGUAACGGCUUACCAAGGCUACGAUGCGUAGCCGACCUGAGAGAGUGGUCGGCCACACUGGAACUGGAACACGGUCCAGACUCCUGCGGGAGGGAGCAGUAGGGAAUCUGCCGCAGUAGGCGGAAGCAUGACGGAACAACGCCACGUGAGUGAUGGAGGUCUUCCGAUCGUAAAACUCUGUUAUUAGGGAAGAACAAAUGUGUAAGUAACUAUGCACGUCUUGACGGUACCUAAUCAGAAAGCCACGGCUAACUACGUG
rnacentral:rRNA from 1 species